GUUUUAUAAUUACAGCUCUCUCACUAGCAAAACCAUUGCCUUUGAGACAAACUGUCAUUUUUUUUUUCUGUAGUACAAGCAUCAAAACCAUAUUCGUAUCAUUAACAAAGAAUGCUACUUUUCUUUUUUUAAUAGUGUAGUCUUCCUGCAUCCAUCAAAUAUAGAGUUGCUUUCAGCAGCUGCUAACCAUAAGUAUUAUUACGAAACUGCAACUUUUACAUAUUUAAUAUUUAUAUGAACACAUAGUUUACAUUGGCAAUUCUAAUAAAUGAAUGGUAAAGAAAUUAGUUGUUUGUCAAUUUUAUAGCAUCUAUAGAUUUCUUGGGAUUGCUUAGAUUCAAUCACCUGGUUUCCCAAAGCUAGGGGUAAAAAUCUGGCCAAUUGCUUCAAGUGCUGAAACAUUCCAGCUUUCAGCAUGCCUAACAACCUGUCCAAUUAAAAGUUUCUACUUCUCUUAAAUAUUGGCACUACAAACACAAAAUCAACUUCUGCAAAGAUAAAAAAAAGUGCAAAAGGUUGGAGGUGAGGAUAGAAGAAAAAGAAAGAAAGAAGAAAGGAUUUUAUCUCACUUUAAAUUCAUCAUUUAUUUCAUAAAUUGUGCUUCCAUCAAUUGAAAUAAAAGGCCUCCAUGGAAAUUUAAGGUAGGUUCUGCAGUUAAAUAAACUAAUUCAGAAUAAUACUGAUGGUGCCAAAUCUGAAAAUUUUGAUGAAAAAACAAGGAAGCACUUCCAUAGACAAGGAAACAAACAAUUGUUUAGCAUGCACAGGGUAACAGCAAAUUAGCCCAGUAGUCCUUCACCCAAACAGGUCCUUUAACUAGAGAAAUGAGUGAGAAGAGUAGCAUAUUCAAAUUCCUUAAUCUGCAAGGUUAAGCAUAAACAUGCACUGCAGUUAUUAAUUUAAAAAAGGCAUCAACCCAAAUCCAAAUGGAGGAACACUGGAUAUUUUUAUCAACAGUUACACAUGACAUCUUAAGAGGUAGUAUUAUUUCAGGCAAAUGAAAACAUUUCAAGCAGCAACAAUCUUCUUCAUCCCUUAGGUGCUCUUCUUUUUUUCCUUAUUGUUCUUUUCGAGCCUCUUCCACAUUCCAUUUAUUUCAAGAAAUGUGUCAAAGGAAAUAUAAAAGUCCAAACAACAAUCAGAGUUGUAUAUGGCUAUAUGCAGGAGAACUGAUGGGGCCAGAAAAAAGCUUAGUACAGCACAUAUUUGACAUAUAAAUAACCGGUGGACAUUGAGUGAUGCUGCUUUUUUUCUUUCUAUUUUUUCAUAUGCUUUUGGGUAAGCUUUUAUCUGUCCAUUAAUGAUGGAAAACAAAGCUUCAAUUCUUGAAUAAAUCUCUCCCUUACCCAGCCCCACCUUUAGAAGUAAACAUGAAAAUGAGCUCAGCUAAGUUGAUAUUGCCUUGAACAUAUAAAAUGGAGUUAACCAAUUUAGGCACCUUAGUUCCCACUUUGCCAGCACAAAUUUUGUUUCAGAAUUGACACCCUUCUCAAUAUUUUGCAGUCCAAUUGAUGGGGAGUCAAAGAAAGGAACUAGUAGUUUCAAGUUGCGGGCGUACAAAUCAGUACCUAAAGUUCCAAAGACAAUAAAAUCCAAAAGCUCACAAAGAAAUUAGAGACAAACUGCUGAAGCACAUAAGCAUUUUAUCAAACACAAUGCUCAGCAAAAAUUGCAUAAUUUUUCUUACCUCGAAAUCUGAUAGUAGGAUCUUCAAAGAGACAAUCUUCAGCAUAAAUUGCAGAAGUGAAAAUCCCUACCAUCCAAAUAAAGAUCAGAAAAGCAUCAAUUCACAUUGGCAAAAGUAACCUAACAGAAAAUAUUAAGUGAAAAUUUAGGUUACCCGUAACAAAAUAAGCAUUCUCAUAAUCUCCCAUGAGGAUUAUUACGACAUCAUCAAUACCCGAAACAGAUAUCUCAUCUCUUUCUUCACAGCUCACCCUAUCCAGACUAUCUUUGCUAGAGAAGGAGAAGAGCCUGAGAAGCUCCGUGACUCCACUUACGGCGAAUUUCAAAAUUCGUGGGGUUUUAGAUUUAGUUCCAACUCUGCUCCAUUUUUCAUUAACUGGUGCCCCUGAGCAGCAUUGGAUUCCAUGAAUUCUCCUUAAACUCAAGGUUGGAUUGGGUGAUAUUCCCGCCAUUUUCCAGAAGUCGUUAACGGUUAAUCGGCAACGGAAUUUGAGUGUUCCUGUUUCUUAUCCUCACAAUUUAUUCUUGC
rnacentral:misc_RNA from 1 species